UAGGGGUGUUUGAUUAGAUGAAGGAUGAAGAUCACCCCAGAAAACACGAGAGAGAGAGAGAUAGAGCUCGGUGCUCUGACCCGAGACGCGCACGACCCGAGAGAGAGACCUGACCGGAACUUCCACGUCCGGCCACGCCACGACGGCGCACGGGCACCCACAUCUUCUUCUCUGCGUCGCCUAUCUCCCUGCAUCCUCAGAUUGUCCAUGCACUGAACGGAGAAGGAAACCCGACGACAAGAAGCCCAAAGCUUCACCGGCAACCUCUGCAAUUUCCGGCGACCGAUUAAGCUAUAUCUGUUUUUGGGUUCAUCUCGGGUCCGGCGUUGUUCUUUGAUGCCGACGACUUCUCUGGCUUCUCUUGGUCCACUCUCCACCUCGUUUCCACUUGUUGAUGCUUAAUGUUCUAGACUGAAGCUAAUUUUCAGAAACUGCUAGCUGGUGUGAUGGAUUCCCAGUUCGUCAUCAUCUUUGUUCAACCGAGCUUGCUUGGAGUAAUUUUUGAAGUUACCCGAGGAACAGAAGGUUCGCGACUCUCGGAAUACGUGAGAGAAAGCAUCGAAAUCCAGGUAGGGAUUCAGGACUCUCCUCGGUUAGUGAUUUUCUUAUAUUGUUAUUAAAUGAUGCAUGUUAGUUGGUAUGGUUUGGUUAUGUUCAAAUGCAAUGCAUACUAACCAAACCAUGUGAGAAAUGUGAUGGCUUGAGAGCGAAGGGUGGCUCUGACUUCCUUGGGUUCGAUCCCCAAAACCUCCGGAGGGUUAGUUACACCGGUCGGACGGUGAGCGAUCGCAAUGACGACCCGAUCCGUGUGUGUAGCUAGGUAGCGGACGCUCUCGCUACGCUUACCUGGUGAUAAAUUAAAUUGAGGUAAGGUCGUGUAGUGGGUCUAUGGGACCGGCCAUCAGGUAAAACUUGGAUUUGGCGCCGUAUUUAUUUAAGCAUCAUGUAUCGGUUUUGAAGUUGAAAAACAUUAAAGUUUGUCGUUCCUUUUAAAUAUUUGGUUUAAGCAUGUUUUCAUACUGGAGCUCCAAAAUCUAUUUAUCGGUUUCAAACCAAUCGAGUUAGAGUUCCUAUUGAGCAGCGAGGACGAAAGCUCACCCCUACAACAGUAUGAAUGCAGGUACUGUGCACUGGUGACGGGACAGUAGCGGGCGGAGCUGGGUGUGCGAAAGCUCGGUAAAGCAUCGUUUGGAUUUUAUUUUAAAUUCUCUUUCAUUGAAAUCCGUACCUCGUGUGAGUCUUUAUCCCAGUUCUGGACGAACGAAAUAGAUUUUAGCAAUUCAAGUUUUCACCUCAAAAAUAUUUGUAGCUUCUGCUGUGUUUUCCAAAUGUUUUCAAACAAAAUGCCUAGCGGUUCUCUAGGAUGUAAAUCGAGCGUUCGGUUUACGUUUUAGAGACUCGCGGCACUGUGACGUGCUUAAGCUGGUGAGGUGUAGGUUGGGGCGUUACACCCUGCAUCAGCAAAAUCCAUCAAAACAUCCUCAUCGUUUUGAUGUAAGGGAGGAGGAUGGGUGGCCGGCGGCUUUGCCGAUCACGGCGUCUUGGACGGUGACACUUGGGCUAAUGAGAUCCGUUCUCAUUAUUCCGUCAUUAUUUUCUCUCUGCAGGGAUAGAACAAGCUCAUAUCUAUCGUACAUUUUAAGUAACGAAAGAUUGUCUUUAUACCAGUCCAAUGGUGUUGCGUUGGCGCAGGGCUGCAUCUAACCAACAAGUUCAUAAUUACAAAUGAGGUGUCCGGUCUUGUAUUGUGUUAAGUAUAAUAAUGCGCCUAUUGCACUUAGGUAAGACAUUUCUGCCAAUUAACACGUCUUCGUCAUCAUCCCUGGGACGAAACGUAUCCCUCUUAAGGUCAAGACUACGGACGACCAUGGGAGUGCAUCUUUGACUUUAUCAAAAUGCAAAGCAUUUAUUGACACGGUAUACAAGUUUUAAAUCUAGACAAAACCGUGUUCUCCCAAGGUCCUUCAUCUCAAACUCGGAUUUCAGGUGUUCAGCAGUUUCCCUUAACUCUCAAGGGUUCCAAUUAUGUUUAUCAACAUAAACCGUGACAAUUGCAAAUCCAGAACUUGUAAUGAAAACACAGGGGCAUAGUUCAUCAUAUCCCUUUCCAAUCAAGUAGUCACUUUAGUGAGCGUUUCAACCUCGUUGCAAACGCGCUCCGUGGUCUAGAGCCACUUGACUUGGGUAAAUGAAGUUCACAAGAACCUUCAUUAUAUUCCGUAUCUAGAUCCCCAUAGAGAUACGUAGUGACCACAUUCGUAAGCUGCAUGUUCAGUUAUUCGGAAACUACCAAACUGACAAGGUAGUGGAGUGCAAUGACAUCCAUUACGAGAGAAUAUGUAUUCUCGUAGUCGAUUCCAGGGCGUUUUGUGAGAAGCCUUGCGCCAUAAGGCGAGAUUACAUCUCUUUUUCUCAUCACGCUAUCUAACGAAGACCUAUUAAUGUCAACAGGUUUUAUGUUAGGAGGUGUUGGCAUCUCAGGCCUGAAAACCUUCCUCUUCGCUAGUGAAUCAAAUUCAACCUGGAUCGCAUCUUUCCAUUUAGGCCAAUUUUCUCUACGCUGGCAUUCCUUCAACGGUGUAAGGUUCGAUGUCAUUGGUCUCAAUAAUUCCACGUCCUCAUGUACACUAGUGUAGUUUGUAGAGAUCUCUAUAUUCUCAGGAGUUGGUUCUAACAUUGAGGCGUCCCCCAACGAUGUCUCUUGGACAUAACCACAAUCCAGAAUAUUCUCAUAAGACGGAUUUUGAGUAUCAAUGAUCAAUGGAUCAAGUUGUGUCAAACUCGCUCACUUCCUAGGGCGAGAAUCUAUCGAACCUAUGGGUCUCCUACGCUCUUUAGCGGAACCCAUGACCUAUGACGCCAUUAUGCCACAUUGUGGCGUCACUAUACCACCAUCCAUGGUGGUGGUGUCGUGCCCAUCUCUUCUGGGUGGCGCCAUGUCCUCUUGAGGGGACAUCUAUCCUUGCAGGCAUGUUUGCAGCAGGUAUAUGUGAUCUCGUCACUUUUAGGGGAUCAAGAUGAGACAUAGUGGGGACAGACCACGACAAUUCCUGCCGUUCCUGUUGAACAUAGACGUUCUAAUCUCCCUCUAACGACGGGAAAACUGUCUCAUCAAAGUGACAAUUCGCAAAUCCAGCGAAAAAGAGAUCGCCUGUCAAGGGUUUUACAUAGCGGACUUAUGGUUGGAGACUUAUGUCCAACACAAAUAUAUAUAUAUAUGCAUUCGUUGCAAUGACUCAUGUUGAUGCGUUGUGGCGGCGCAAUUGGCACAUAAACCGCACACUCAAAUAUGCAUAAGUACGAGAUAUUAGAAUCGAACCCAAUCACUAGCUGUAACGCAAAUAAACGUUGAGUGGCUGCUAUGAGUAGUAGACGAAUUAGCAUAGCUGCAUGCGAUAUUGCAUAACCCAAGCGGAAAUAUUGGUGCGCAUUACCAAAGUCCGGGCUACCAUCGUAGUCUUUUAAUGGUGGCUUUUCCGCGAGACCAAUUGGGUGUGUACAUGGGAAUAUGAUACUUGAUAUCAAUACCCAAUGAUAUGCCAUAGUCAUCGAAAAUUUUCGAUGUAAACUCUCCAGCAUUAUCAAGUCGAAUUGAUUGAAUGAGAUGAUUCGGGUAGUGAGCCCGUAGCCAUAUGAUAUGUGCUAGGAGUGUAGUAUAAGCAGCAUUACGAGUGGACAAUGGUACAACACGUGACCAGCGUGUUUGCAUAUCAACCAACACCAUAACAUGUCUAUACGGUCCGCAAGUUGGUUGAAUCAAUCCACAGAAUUCCCUUAGAAUCUUCGUAAGAAUGGUAUGCUUUCUUUUUGUGUCCUUUGCAUAGGAUGGUCUUGAUCCUAAUUUUGCUAAAGAGCAGGCUUUGAAGAACGAAGGUUGGGCUUUAGAAGCAACCACUAAUGAUUUCAGUUGAGCCAUGAAGUCACAAUUGACUUUAGAAGUAACAAGAGGAGUUGAAUUAGGGUGUAUGGCGUCAAUGCCAUGUAUUGGCCGCAGGGGGUAGGCAGCAUCGGCGCCAGUCUUGCACAAUCAUGGCUCCAUGAGGCGCAUGUGCAGCUCCUCGAAUCAAUUUUUGGUUCUUACUUCUUUUCUUUCUGAAAAAUGGAUGUCCGUGUGAAGUCUUUAAUACACGGAUCAUCAUGUCACGACCUGGGUGUCCCAAACGGUCAUGCCAAAGCCUAUAUGUGUCAGAAUCCCAUAAAUCAUCUCUCAUGACAUGGUUUGAUUCAAUGAUUCGAAUAGUGGUUGCAUCCAACCCACUAGAACAACACAUAAGUUUCUUUAAGACUGGCAUACGUCCGUAGUCAUUAGAGGUGAUACAAAGGAACUCUUGUCCAUUCUCACAAUGUGUUUCCACAUGAAAACCAUUGGCUCUUAUAUCUUUGAAAUAAUAAAGUUCGAAUUAAGGUAUGUCCAAGACAUUAAAGAAUCGACACUUUAUUAAUAGCCAAUGAUUACAUCAAAGUUUCUUAACCAAAGUCUAAUCCAAAAUAAAAAUCAAACUUAGACAAAUCGUAGUCACUCAAUCCAUUUGGUAACUCCAAUCAAAUAUGACCAGGAAAGUAAGAAGAGAUGUCAGUGGAGCAAACCUCGCUUAAGUACCACUAAUCUCAACUAGUUUCUUAGACAUCAUACUUAAUUGUGUGAGUCUAGUGAGAAAGAGCUAAGACAAUUGUCAUUUAUUGAUUUAAGGCAUAAUUGUCAUUACAUAAUUCUUGGAAAAUAAAGACUAUACUAAUAAAAAUCUGCGGCAUUUUAUCUUCAUCGCCAGAUUUAAAGUCUUCCAUAACUCGAUAUCUUGAUCACCAUUGAUCAGGUACACCAUAAAACAUAAUGUAGAGGAUGCUCUCUUGAUUGAGGCGUAUUGACGCAAUACAAAUGACCCCUAGGACCAUUGGCAUUAGAAUAGUGUUACCAUGGCCAAAAGUGGCGCCAUGGUGUCCAACCCCCAACCCUCAACGUCAUGACUCCUUUGGUCAUGUAUUUGCCAACUUUGGCGAUGACCUUCAUGAGCAUGUUGAUCAUAUCAUCCAUGGCGACUUCUUCUAGCCAUUGAACGGUGCUCAUGGUAGCCAUCUUGAGGCCUACCAUAUUUUCCAUUCACAAAGUUCGUGGUUGUGCCUUUCAACACAUGCCAUAGCUCCAAUUAGCUGAUGGAAAUUUGUGAUCCAUCUUGCGUUUACAUGAGUCCGGAAUAAAUCAGAGGACCUCAUAGCAUAGAUAGGGAAGGUAUUAAGGGUUUUCUCAAUCAAUUGUUCUUCUGUGAUAGUUUUUCAUAGGCAUGCAUCAAUGUCUGAUGCGGAGAGCUUCCGAACAAUAUUCCAUAACUUUGUCAAAGUUAGAGAAGCAGAGAUAAUUCCAUCAUUCUUCUAAGUUCGGAAAAUUGUGAAUGUUUGUUAAAACAUUCACGAAGGGCUACCCAAAGGUUUCUAGCGCUAUCCUCAUUCAUGUACUCAAACUGGAGUGUCAUCUCCAUGUGGCGCUUCAUCAGGGUAAGUGCCCUGGAAUUAUCUAUCUCAGUUUGUGAGUCUUGAGCGGUUCCUUUAGAACAGGGCUCUUGGAUUGUAGGCAAUAAAUAUCCCGUGCCCGUAGAAUCCAAUGGAGUAAAAUCGAGCUCGUUCAAGUUUGAUAUCCAAAAAGGAGAAACAAGAACGGAUUAGUUUCGGAGUCAAUGCUUCCACGAAAACUAAUAUUAAGAUUUCCGAGCCUUAAUGCUACCAAGAAAUCGAUUUCCAAGAAAUCCUUAAUGCUUGCGGACACUCUUAGUCCGAAUAUUAUGAACACUCUUAGUUCAUUGAUUACGAACGCUCUUAGUUCGUUUAUUAUGAACACUCUUAGUUCAUUGAUUACGAACGCUCUUAGUUCAUUUAGUGUGAAUCCCCACAAUUCCGCUUAUUAAAUAAUCGAACCCAUGUUCGUAUAUGGCAAAUCCUGCAGCAAAUAAAGAAAUUUAAAAGACAAGAAAGCAGGAACUUUAAUCUUUAAAACUUACUUGUUGAUUCGGGGUUUGAGUCACGCGCGUGUUGAUGCAGGCGUGAUGGAGCGAAGCUAACCGAGGAGAUGAUGAAGCAAGGCUUGCAGCGAUGGUAACGCUUCAAUCCUAAGCUAGGAUUGCAGUGGCUGUUCAAUCCUAAGCUAGGAUUGCAACCGGUUUGCAAUCCUGGUCGUGGCAGAGGGCUGGAACGCAGGGCUGCAGGAGCGCGGGCGCGUUGCUUGGGGUCGUUGCGCAAGGGCUGCAAGCGCACGGGUGCGCGAGGUGUGCGGCAGGAGCGCAGAGGCGCGUAGCAGACGUGCGGAUGAAAGCGCUGGCUGGCUGGCAAGCGCUAGCUUGUGCUAGCUGUGUGCUUCGGCUGCAGGGGCAGCAGUGGCUGGGCGUGCACGCGGGGUAACAGGCAGCAGUGGGGAGGCUAGCUCGUGCUAGGGCUUGCGUAGGGAUGGCAAAAAUCCCCAUAGGGUAUUCGACCCUAACGGGGAGACAUUCGGGGGAAAUCGGGUAACGGGGAUGGGGAUCCCCAGUAUUUGAAUUCUGAAAUCGGGUACGGGGCGGGGAUGAUAUUUUUAUCCCCAUCCCCAUACCCACCCAAUAAGAAUUAUCUGAAAUACAUAUAUAUAUAUAUAUAUAGAACCUUGCUCAGGUGCGGAUAUCCGCACCUAAGAAAAAAGCUACGGAUUUCCAUCUUAACUGUUCAGUUUUUAGAUCACAUUUUCACAUCUUCACAUAUUCAGGGUUUAGGUACGGAUUUCCAUAUUUGACCCACUUUCCGAUCACAUUUUCACAUCUUAACCGUUCAGUUUUUAGAUCCUAAUGUAUAGAUCACCUCUGCAAAAUUUCAGCUAAUUUGGUGAUCGUUAAGGCAUCCAAAACUGCAAUUUACACGAACGAACCGAAUCUGUCGAACCGGAACCGUUCGUGUACGUUGUUGUAAAUUGCAGUUUUAGAUGACUUAACGAUCACCAAAUUGGCUGAAAUUUUUUUUUUCUUUAUGGUGGAAAUGUUAUCGUCUGGCAGCAUUUGGUCUAGUAAGACUGUACGUAUUAGUGUCUACUUCAUAAGCAUAAUGUUCUGAGUUGGGGUCACGGAUUAAUUGUUAUAUGUUCUUAGUUGUAAUUUGUUCAGUUGUUUAAUGGAUUUUUCUGCCGCGAAUCUGAUAAUGUCAUGCUUCUUGUAAUGAUUGACGUUUCUACUAAGAUAAAUGGUGGUAAGGUUGUUUGCAAGUGGAAUGGUGACGACCCAAUCUGGACCCCAACGUAAUAAACCUACCUUUGACGAAUACAACUCAUGAUGACAAAGACCAAAUCAUCUUGGAAGGCCUCAUCUCCUCACAAGAGGAGGGUCUCACUCUCGAUCAUUUGCUAUUAGAAGUCAAGAACCCAUCGGCUUCAUUGGUUGAAAGUGAUCGUGAAUACAUUAGAAAAGAAAAACAUGGAAUCGGAUAAUGUUGGAAUAGAAAAUAUGGGAGUUGCUUUCACACUUCUUAAAGCUAUGGAUAUAGGACCUUUAGUCUGGAGAUGAUCUUUAGUCUGGAGUUGAUUAUGUUUUUUAUUUUAUUUGUUGGGUAGGGGCUAUGGUAAGAAUUAAGUUGCAUUUCUUUCAUUUUCACGAUUUAUAGAACCCAAUUAUGGAAUCGGAUAAUGUUGGAAUAGCAAAUGUGGGAGCUGCUUUCAGCCUUUCACACUUCUUAAAUGUGGGAGCUGCUUUCACACUCCUUUAGUCUGGAGUUGAUCUUUAGUCUGGAGUUGAUUAUGUUUUUUAUUUUAUUUGUUGGGUAGGGGCUAUGGUAAGAAUUAAGUUGCAUUUCUUUCAUUUUCACGAUUUAUAGAACCCAAUUCUCUAACUCGUUGGUCCUUUCAGAAUGAAAUUAAACAGUCAAUGCAUGUGAUAGAAAGGAGCAGUUUUUGGCAAUUGAAAAUGUCCCAAUAUACUAGCUUAAAUAGGUCGAUAGGUUUCCCAAGUCCCUAGCUAGAAUCACUAAAAUGCAAUUGAUAGACAUCACCAUAAUUUGGGAUAUAUGGCUGGUCUGGCUAUUUGAAGUAUGGCAUGGUUGAUCAAUAAUUGAUAGAACUCACUGUAAGAGGUACGUAGUGGUAUGGGCUCGUGAAAUUUCUGAGAAGGGCGGGGGAUGCAUUUUCUUUGGGCUUAAAUCUUUUAUUGUACUUCGUAGAAAACAUUGCAGAUGCAUUAUCACAAUAAAUCUUAAAGGAUCUCUUAAUUUAAUUAACCGCUUCUAUUCAAUAUUGAUUGAAAUUUCUUAAGUCAUAAGCCUUAUUCUGGCUUCAUGGAGUUAGAAAUUAGGGAGUUCUCCUAUAUGAUGAUGAACUGCAAGUUCCAUCCUUAUUUACAAUUGCCAUGCAUGCUGAUGAUUAGUUUGGUUAAAGUACCAUUAAGUUGGAAUAUAUUGUUAAAGAUAAUCAAUCUUCCUCAAUCACUAGCCAUUGAUAUGGCUAUAAUGCUGUGCAUUAAUCUAGGAUCAGUUUUGAUAUUGUUACAAAUAUAGAUAGCUGUAGCCUAUACUGUUGUGCAUCAAUCUAGGAUCAGUUUUGAUAUUGUUUUAAAUGUAGUUAUUACGGCAUUGCAAAACUGAUGCUGCUUCUCCUAUAUAUUGUAAACAUUGUAAAUGUACAAAUCAAUGAAUUACAAUUUCGACAUAUAUCCCAAGGGAGGAAUUAUCAUACUAAUCAAGAAAAUUAAAAGUACCAUGAAUGAAAGACAUGCACUCAGAUAGUAAAAUCCUCGCAUGGUUUGGGAUUCAGAGAUCUUAUGACUCAAGGACGGGACUCUUGAAUCCAUAACAGUUGACAUCAGUAUUUGAAACAGCAAUUUGAAAUGUACGUGGACUCUUAUCUCACAUUGGCUCUUCAGUAGAUGAAAACGACUCUAAGCAUUGAUCGAAACAGUAAUAGCAAGUUGAGAAUAGAUGAGCCUUAAGGCAUAAAGCAUGAAUCAUCAUUAAGCCCAAGCACAAUGAAACAAUUAGAUAAUGUAUGUUAAUUUUCAGGAAACAAUUUAACAGAACUGAAUGUACAAGUUGAUACUUAGUAGUUAGUACUAACAUAGGCCGACCAUUGGAUACAAAUUUGUGCGCUUUACAUAACUUCUUUCCUGAGGUAACAUUGAUUGCUUAUAUCUGGUUCUCUAGCAAUCUUACUGCAAAUAAAUAGACAACAGCUGAGCUCUUUCAACUAUGAACCUUACUAUCCACGUCAGUUCCAACUCCUUCAUACUUGAAUCUUGUCAUUAUUAUCAGAAGACAUUGACAUUGCAUUAGUUCUACAAUUUCACUGGACAAACUUAGCAUGUACAUAGUGGUGUUUUCUGCAGUACUCUUAGCAAAUUUGCAUUCAGGAACUGUUUGUACCUGGAACUACAUGUCCCUGCAGGUAAGCCAUUACCAUUCUGAGAGAUAUGCUUUAUCACCAAUAUCAUAUUUUAAAGUAGACGAUUUGAAAUUUACAUGCAUUUUAAUUGCCUAAUUUAAGGUACCCUUCCAUGUGAGUCACCCGGUACAUAAUUACAUGCGACACCAACUGUAUAUUUCAACCUUGUUUACUUUCUUCUGUUAUGAAGGUUGCCUCUAGCUACUUUUCUUUUAGUGACACAUCUCUAGCUUUUUUUUAGCAUAAUCUGUUUACAGUGCUUGCAGUUAGGUCAAUAAAGUUUGUUACAGAUGAAAACUUGCUUACUUGCAUUCUAACCAGACAAUUCUCAGGUUAGCCCACUUGUGGUUAAUUAACUAAUCGAUCAUCACCUUCUGCAAAGCAUAGUAUGCAUCUUUGCAUGCCGUAAAAAUUUGAUCUACAAAUGCAUUUUUUAUUUUUUUUGGUCUGUCAACAACCGAACCAAGUAAUGAAAAUUGUUAAAUGGUGUCUGCCAGAAGUUUUGGCAGGUAGAUUAGCAGUACUCCAGAAAAUUAAAAGACAGAUCUGCAUGAAACUGAUAUAAAUGAACCUCACAGGGCAUAUAGCAAUGCACUAUCUUUUCCUUGGCAUAUAUAAUAGCAGAGAGGACCCUGGCAUACUCAAGACCUUCAGAAUUCAGAAAAUGCAUUAAUGGAAGGAAUCAUCAGUUGAAAUGAAUAUCUGAAUUAGCAUGGAUUUUGUGGCAAAAAGAUGUUCUGCACUUGAUUAUGAUAAAAUCCAUGGGUGAGUUCAAGGGUGGACUUUUGAAUACACAACCAGAUAUUCAAUCAUGGCAAAGAGCAGGUAAAAUCCUAUUGUCAACUAAUACAAAAACUAAAGUUUAUGGUGAGAUAUUAAUGUUAAAGAAACUUUAGGUGAAAAGAGUUGUUUCAUAACUAAUUAAGGUUUAGGCCUAUAAAAAGAUUGUUUCUGAGGAAUUUAGGAGUGUCUCAGAUUAUCAAUAGAAAGAAAGGAAAGGGAUAGAGAAAUAAUGGAAGGAAAUAGCUCCAGGAGACUUGUGCAUGUUCUUAUGGUCCUGAUGAUCGUGAUUUUGGUGACUGAAGUGCAAGCUCAGUCACCUUUCUGCAUAAUUAAAUGUACACUCAAAUGUGCAGGUUCUAAAACCAGCCCAAUCUGUACUGCAGAAUGCUUGAAAAAUUGCAAGAAGUCACUGCCGGAGCCUCUCUACUACUGCAGCCUUGGUUGCACAACUUCCAUGUGCACCAACAUCAACUCUGGAGAAGCAGAAGGUUGCGCAGGUUUAUGCUCCAAAAAAUGCAGCAAAUAUUAUGCUCUCAAGUCUCAACUAGUAGAAUUGCAUGAGUAAAUAGAUCACAGAACUCAUACAACUGGUAUUUGCAACUGCAAAAAUCAACAAUCAUAUAUGCUGAUUUCAUGCGUGCCAUUUUAUUUAAUUAAAGACACCUUUGUGUUAUAUGUAUAUUGCAACAUGAACAAGCACUGGAUCAAUUGAUAGAUAUACGCACACAAUUCAAACACACACACACAGCAUAGGGAAUAGAAUAAUGUUCAUACCUGAAGGAUCCAUGAAGUCAACAAAAUGAACAAUAGCCCUCUGCAGAUCUCUAAGUAUGAACUCCUUGUUUAUGGGGAAGGACUGAAUGUUCUAUUUCAACGUAGAGAAUGCAGGGACUAGAGUGCUUGAACACUCGACUCUUCCCAUAGUAGAAGUCAUAAGCAACUCGAUCACUUCUAUUUACCACAUGUUUCAUAUCAGAUAAGUAACCAAAAGAUUAUCAUUAAUAUAUUUCCAUAACCACUUGAUAGA